AUUUUUCCCAGUCUAAAUUUAUGAAAAUUAAAAAUCGAAAUUCACAUUACAUAUCAAAUAUCGAAGACCACAAAUGUCUACCAAUAAUUGAAAAGUGUAAUAGCGAUGAAAGAUUCUUUAAAAAUGUAAACGAUAACGAUGAAAUUCCCUGCAAUACUUGUGGCGGAAAAAAUAAAAACUUAAGAGGCAAAUCACAAAAUAAAUAUGAGAGCAACUUAACGGUAUCAAAAAACCAGUACGACUCUAAUGCCCGCCAUUUUGACUCACAGCAUGAAAAUCGAUCUACCGAAAAGCCUGUUCGCCAAUCAUGUGGCUGCUUUCGAAAUCCAGAAAAUUGUAAUUGUGUAGAUUUAAAGCCAAUCCGAGAAAUAAAAUCUAAAUGGUAAGCUAUCUGUAUUCCAAGAUAAAGUAAGCAAUUGUUAGUGCGUGCUAGAUAACAACUUUCCCUUAAACUUAACACUUAUUUAAUGCUAUGAUGUUGUUUAGAGUUUAUUCGAAUGGCUGUGCUUAGCUGUUUAUUAUAAGCGAUACCCCAAACGCAAUUCCAUUAAUUUUUGUUAUUUCUGAGUAACAUAGCAGCUAUUUUUAUGAUAUAGUAAAAAAAAUUGAUUCCGAUCUAUAUUAUUGGAUCUGUUUUAUUCCGAUAUAAAAAUAAUAUUCAGAAUUUGUUAUCCAUCAAACACACCGUCUUAUUUAUAAUUGUAUUGUCUUGUAUUAUAUGGUUUAUUUUCUUUAUAGUAAAAAAAGCUGCAGUUUCUCAGUUUACGAUAUGAGUACCCCUAUACCUUUCGUUGCAACUAAAAUCGAAAUUUUCAGAAAGCGUCAUAAUAGGUGGUGGAGGAUUGUGCCAAUAAUUUUGUAAGUAAACCAAUAUAGAUACACUUAUAGUCCUAAUCCAAAAAGGAAAAGUAUUCAAAAAGUACCCGGUACUCACAGGGAAUUCUUUUUUUUGUUGCAAACUAUCAAGGGUUAAUUUUUUGGUCGGCUCGAUCUCGGUGGACUUUUAAAUGAAUAUGACAAAACACAGUUAAAUUGGCCAAAACAAUUUCCAGUUUCUUACUCACUUG
rnacentral:lncRNA from 1 species